CUUUCCAGCCCUCGCCCUGGUCCUCAUGCGCCCUUGUCAGGGAGUAGGUGCGCGGUGGAUAUUUUUGGAUAAAUGACUACUUGAAACUUGGAAGGGUUUCUAGGCGUCCACCCGUCCGCGAGAGUUGACGGCCCUCUUGUGUCCAUAGGCAUUUUAACGGACGUGAAGCACGCUGAAGCCAUGCGUCUGCAGUCAGGUUUAGUGUGGGGGACCUUGGACAUGUCACUUCGGUAUACUUCCUGUGGGAUGUACCUGUGUUGUAGAAUUCUGUGAAGUUCCAAGGAAGAAAUGUUUGCAUGUUUGCAAAAGCUCCCACGUCUGUAGAACAUCUCCGUGUUUGGAGGGCUGGUGGUUUGAACAGUUGCAGAGCUGUUCUCUGCAAGACGAGUGCGUCCUACAGAGAGCAAAAACCAUAGAGCUUGUCAUUUAUUGACUGGCAUCUGUAAUGGGGGAAUGCUGGAUUAGAACCCACUUUGCUUUGGGGAAGCGCGUCACUGAGACUUCAAGGAAGACCAAAUGUCUUGUGCUUCGCCGUGACUCCACACUCAUUCUCAGAACCUAGACCGUUUGUGGGUCACUGCAGUAACCACAGUGCACUUUGAAACCUCACAGUGCUACCAGCUUACGGGCAUACACCUAAAUCUUUGGAAGGCAAUUGAUGGGGACUUCACUUACACUUAGCAGAACAAUAGCAGUUGCUUCUCCUCCCGGAUUUUGGCCACGUUUAUUGUACCUGACACGAAUGCCCUUCUGUGGAGCAAGCCUCAAGUCCAGUCAGAAAGGGAUUGGUUGCUCACCCCUAAAACAGUCAUGUCAUUAUUGCUCUUGCCUGGUAGGUCAACAGCUGAGUGACAGCGUGGAGGACGGUUCUCCCCAGCAACCUGCUUAGCUCCGCCCAGCGCUCUGCGUAGCCCCGCCCAGCGCUGUGAGGGCUACGGAGGUUGCAGGAUAUUCGAUCACACAGUGAACUCUUUAAGAAUCUAAAGGUGGCACAGCCUUUGAUCCUAGAGCUUUCUGUUUACUGUAAACAGGUACCGGGGUGUGGCUCAGCCCUAGCACACACCUUUAAUCCAAGAACUAAAUGAAGUCAACCUUCGGUGGAGCAAGCAACCGGCUGAUGAGGAGUGGGUAGAAGAAAACAGAAAGGAGACUCAUUGAGUUGAAAGUUACUUAAGACCGCAUGGAGAAAGUGAAGGAGCGGUUUCCUUCUGGGAGGAUGGCAGCAUAGGAAGAUCAACCUGAUGCUUUUUCUACUGAACUAGCAGGUUUCCACCACAGGGUCUAGCUCCCAAGUCUUCAUUUGGUAAAAUUGAACAUUUGAAAUUAUGUUUUUAAAAACAACACAGUCUGCAAUUCACUUCCAGCUUGAAUGCGCUGUGCCCUGCCAUCCAGAGUGGCCUGUACUGUCUGGGGCCAGGAGUCCUUACUUGCUGAGGAAGCUGGGAUGUAGGUGGGUGUUGGCUCCUUUGGUCUUUUGGUUGUUUGCCCACUUUAUCUGUCAGCUGUCUUCAAAGCCCUGAGCUGCUGUGAGGUUUGCUAGCACUGGUGGGAAACAGUAGCUCUCAUCUUUACCGUCCAGACAGGUCGCUAAGCAGCAGGGUCGAAGCCAACAAGAACUUUCCACUGAUGCAGAUUGCUUUGUUUAGUUCCUUUACCUCCGGCAUCUUCAUUGUCUCCAUCUUCACCCAGGCAUCUUUCUGAAAAACCAGGGAGCAAAGGAUGAAUAAAUAAACCGGGGGGGGGGGCUGAAGAAUGGGACAGAAAGCAGCGACAACCCAGAGCCCAGAGGAAAUAGAUCUGUAGCCUCAAUGCCCCAUCCCCCAGCCCCCACCUGCUCAUCAUCAAACCCCAGUCAGCUGUCAGUCUGGGGCAGAGGCAGCCUGGACCCAUCCCCAGCUUUUGGUAGUUUGCCCUAUUGGCAGGUUUGACCUACUGGCGGCUUCCUAACUACUUGGGCCUCUGUCAUCCUAUUUCCUUGUGGGGACCUCUUCCUGCUCACCUGCCAAUUGUGACAUUUGCUCUAGAGGCAGAUUGGGACGAGUCAAAAAGAAAAAAAGAAAAGAAAGACAGAAACUGAUGAGAACAGCCAGUUUUGUUUUGUUUUGUUUUCCGACCAAAACCUGUUCCUUCUGGAUUGCUUAUAAAAUGAUCCAUGCAAGGCGGUUAUUGACAACCAUGAUGACUAAGCCAAUUAUAAGUUUUGAGCCGUUUUUUUUGUUUUUUGUUUUAAAUUGAUGUCCAGACCAAGAGCAGGGGUCAUGUCUCUGAAAAGUCCCUCUGUGCUCCAGUUCCUGGGCACAGCCAGC
ensembl:lincRNA 5330439K02Rik RIKEN cDNA 5330439K02 gene